UUGUCCUCGAAGACUCCUCCCCAGUACAGCUGUAUGAGACGGUGUGCUCGUGUGCUGCUGGCAAGGCACUUUGCAACCAUACCGUGGCUCUCCUUUUUCAGACUACUCUCAGCUCCACCUCCUUGCUGUACCCCCAGUCCUUAGCUGCACUGAGACAGAGCAACGCUGGCACAAGCCAAGGACUAUGGGUGUAAAACCAGGCCGGGUCAGUGAUAUGGUUGUGAUGUCUGCCAAGCCCAAACAAAGGACAGUUGCCAGUGGUUUCAGGAGCACUCUCUACAAGGCGACGCGGGGGGAUAUGCCUGAUCCUGAUGUUUUGAAAGUGACAGAAGCAUAUGAAGGCUUUUCACCUGACAUAGCACCCCUUAUUACCACCAUGUCCAUCAGU